AUUCCGUAACACUGGUAUCUCCAAAACGCUCAUCUCUCCACUGCAACAGGAGUGCACCUUCACUGGAGCCUCUUCUGGGCUCUCUUCGGGGACUCUGACCCUGCCGUACCACGCCAGCCUUCAGCCUCUCUCCACGCACCUUUCAGUCCUGAGCCUUCCAGGUCAACCGAGGCUGCACAUUCACCAAUGGCCUCUUCUGACCUCGCAUGGUGCUAACCCCCAGCUGCUCUCCAGGACCCCUUCAUGCCUUCCAAACCAAUAUUACCAAGUUCGGCUGCCUCCCCAAGUGGGUGUCGAUCCUAAGCUUAAAUAUCACAAAAGACUGCUUCAUGGAAAGGUUUUUAUUUAUUUUUCAGUCUAUUUUAUUUUUUAUUAAUCAUUUCAUUCAUUUACAUCUCAAAUGAUAUCCUACUUCUCCCUUACCCGUCCACAAUCCUCCCCAUCCCACAUCUGCCCUCUCCUCUCUCCCUUUUGCCUCUAUGAGGGUGCUCCCCCACUUACCACUCCUCCUGCCGCCCUGCUCCAGCAUCUCUUUACGCUGAGGCAUCAAACCUCCACAGGACCAAGGGUCUCCCCUCCCAUUGAGGUUAGACAAGGCCAUCCUCUGCCUCACAUGUAUCUGGAUCCAUGGAUCCCUCCCUGUACACUCCUUGGUUGGUGGUUUAGCAGCCUUUAGUUGAAGAUGUAAACCCUCAGCUCCUCCUGCAUCACGUCUGCCUGGAUGCUGCCAUGUUCCUGCCUUGAUGAUAAUGGACUAAACCUCUGAACCUGUAUCACCCGGGAGGUUGAGGGCAAAUCCAUUCAUUGCCCAUCCAGUUCAAUCCAGAGUUCAGACUCUUCAGCUCAGCUUAUAGCCCUGCAUCGAGAGAGUGCACCAGCUCAUGGCUGCGAUUACUGUUAGUGAACGCCGCCUCAUCUCCCGCACUUAUCUUUGGAGUCUUCCCUCUCUUUGCAGUUUGCAUAUUAUCCUGAGGAUCUGUUUUGAAGUCACAGGCAGUUGUGAGCUGUCUGACAUGGGCGCUGGGAACUGGACUCAGGUCCUUCGAAACACAAGCAAGCGUUUCUAACUGCUGAGACAUCUCUCCAGUCCCACCGUUCCCACUUUCCCAUACAUUUCUUUCCUUUUUUUUGAGAAUUAGGAAAGGGAACAUCGAAAUGGAAAUAGAUCAGUCUACUGCUCUCACUGUACAGACAUGGAAACUGAAGCUACAGAACUGUACGAACUGGACACCGAGGCUCAGUUGGCCGGGUCCUCGCCUAUCAUACACCAAAUCCUGUUUCGUCCAGAGCUUCAUUAAAGAGAGAAUGGCUGUACAUACCUAUAAUCGCAGCACUGGGGAGGAAGUGGGGACAGGAGAAUCCCUGGGGCUUGCUGGUCACCAGUCCACCAAAUCGGCCCUCUCUGCCUUCACCCCCAUCCCAGGUGGGCUUCUGUCCUCUACACUGAGACCCAUACAAGCACACUUAGCCUUCCAUAGCCCCCUAAAGAAGAAGGAAAUGGUUUCUUGUAUGCUGACUAGUGCUAAACAUCAACGUAUGGAAUCUGGGAUUCCCUGCAGAGAGCUCGUGGGGUUGUCUUGGUUACCUUAGUGGGGGCCAGAAGGCCCACCUGCUAUGGGUAGCAUCCUUUCCCCUGCUGGAAUCCCGGACUGUAGAAGUAGAAAAAAAGGAGGUGCCUAUAGCAGAAAGGCCUCGCUGUUCUCUUUUCUGACUGAUAAGCUGCCUCAAGGUCCUGCAGCCUGGACUUCACUGCUGUGGACUCUGUGAACUGUGAGCUCAGGUGAGCCUUUG